rnacentral:rRNA from 1 species
GGGGGUGAAAGGCCAAUCAAACCGGGAGAUAGCUGGUUCUCCCCGAAAGCUAUUUAGGUAGCGCCUCGUGAAUUCAUCUCCGGGGGUAGAGCACUGUUUCGGCAAGGGGGUCAUCCCGACUUACCAACCCGAUGCAAACUGCGAAUACCGGAGAAUGUUAUCACGGGAGACACACGGCGGGUGCUAACGUCCGUCGUGAAGAGGGAAACAACCCAGACCGCCAGCUAAGGUCCCAAAGUCAUGGUUAAGUGGGAAACGAUGUGGGAAGGCCCAGACAGCCAGGAUGUUGGCUUAGAAGCAGCCAUCAUUUAAAGAAAGCGUAAUAGCUCACUGGUCGAGUCGGCCUGCGCGGAAGAUGUAACGGGGCUAAACCAUGCACCGAAGCUGCGGCAGCGACGCUUAUGCGUUGUUGGGUAGGGGAGCGUUCUGUAAGCCUGCGAAGGUGGCCUGUGAGGGUUGCUGGAGGUAUCAGAAGUGCGUAUGCUGACAUAAGUAACGAUAAAGCGGGUGAAAAGCCCGCUCGCCGGAAGACCAAGGGUUCCUGUCCAACGUUAAUCGGGGCAGGGUGAGUCGACCCCUAAGGCGAGGCCGAAAGGCGUAGUCGAUGGGAAACAGGUUAAUAUUCCUGUACUUGGUGUUACUGCGAAGGGGGGACGGAGAAGGCUAUGUUGGCCGGGCGACGGUUGUCCCGGUUUAAGCGUGUAGGCUGGUUUUCCAGGCAAAUCCGGAAAAUCAAGGCUGAGGCGUGAUGACGAGGCACUACGGUGCUGAAGCAACAAAUGCCCUGCUUCCAGGAAAAGCCUCUAAGCAUCAGGUAACAUCAAAUCGUACCCCAAACCGACACAGGUGGUCAGGUAGAGAAUACCAAGGCGCUUGAGAGAACUCGGGUGAAGGAACUAGGCAAAAUGGUGCCGUAACUUCGGGAGAAGGCACGCUGAUAUGUAGGUGAAGUCCCUCGCGGAUGGAGCUGAAAUCAGUCGAAGAUACCAGCUGGCUGCAACUGUUUAUUAAAAACACAGCACUGUGCAAACACGAAAGUGGACGUAUACGGUGUGACGCCUGCCCGGUGCCGGAAGGUUAAUUGAUGGGGUCAGCGCAAGCGAAGCUCUUGAUCGAAGCCCCGGUAAACGGCGGCCGUAACUAUAACGGUCCUAAGGUAGCGAAAUUCCUUGUCGGGUAAGUUCCGACCUGCACGAAUGGCGUAAUGAUGGCCAGGCUGUCUCCACCCGAGACUCAGUGAAAUUGAACUCGCUGUGAAGAUGCAGUGUACCCGCGGCAAGACGGAAAGACCCCGUGAACCUUUACUAUAGCUUGACACUGAACAUUGAGCCUUGAUGUGUAGGAUAGGUGGGAGGCUUUGAAGUGUGGACGCCAGUCUGCAUGGAGCCGACCUUGAAAUACCACCCUUUAAUGUUUGAUGUUCUAACGUGGACCCGUGAUCCGGGUUGCGGACAGUGUCUGGUGGGUAGUUUGACUGGGGCGGUCUCCUCCUAAAGAGUAACGGAGGAGCACGAAGGUUGGCUAAUCCUGGUCGGACAUCAGGAGGUUAGUGCAAUGGCAUAAGCCAGCUUGACUGCGAGCGUGACGGCGCGAGCAGGUGCGAAAGCAGGUCAUAGUGAUCCGGUGGUUCUGAAUGGAAGGGCCAUCGCUCAACGGAUAAAAGGUACUCCGGGGAUAACAGGCUGAUACCGCCCAAGAGUUCAUAUCGACGGCGGUGUUUGGCACCUCGAUGUCGGCUCAUCACAUCCUGGGGCUGAAGUAGGUCCCAAGGGUAUGGCUGUUCGCCAUUUAAAGUGGUACGCGAGCUGGGUUUAGAACGUCGUGAGACAGUUCGGUCCCUAUCUGCCGUGGGCGCUGGAGAACUGAGGGGGGCUGCUCCUAGUACGAGAGGACCGGAGUGGACGCAUCACUGGUGUUCGGGUUGUCAUGCCAAUGGCACUGCCCGGUAGCUAAAUGCGGAAGAGAUAAGUGCUGAAAGCAUCUAAGCACGAAACUUGCCCCGAGAUGAGUUCUCCCUGACUCCUUGAGAGUCCUGAAGGAACGUUGAAGACGACGACGUUGAUAGGCCGGGUGUGUAAGCGCAGCGAUGCGUUGAGCUAACCGGUACUAAUGAACCGUGAGGCUUAACCUU